rnacentral:rRNA from 1 species
UAGGGAAUAUUGCACAAUGGGCGAAAGCCUGAUGCAGCAACGCCGCGUGCACGAUGAAGACCUUCGGGUUGUAAAGUGCUUUUCUGAAGGACGAGGAAGGACGGUACUUCAAGAAUAAGGAUCGGCUAACUACGUGCCAGCAGCCGCGGUAAUACGUAGGAUCCGAGCGUUAUCCGAAUUUACUGGGCGUAAAGCGCGUGUAGGCGGUUUGGAAAGUUGGAUAUGAAAGCUCCCGGCUCAACUGGGAGAGGCUGUUCAAAACUACCAGACUUGAGGGCAGUAGAGGGAGGUGGAAUUCCCGGUGUAGUAGUGAAAUGCGUAGAUAUCGGGAGGAACACCAGUGGCGAAAGCGGCCUCCUGGACUGUUUCUGACGCUCAGACGCGAAAGCUAGGGGAGCGAACGGG